rnacentral:rRNA from 1 species
CUACGGGCUGCUGCAGUGGGGAAUUUUGGACAAUGGGCGCAAGCCUGAUCCAGCCAUUCCGCGUGAGUGAAGAAGGCCUUCGGGUUGUAAAGCUCUUUCGCAAGGGAAGAAAACUUAUCCUCUAACAUAGGGUGAGGUUGACGGUACCUUGAUAAGAAGCACCGGCUAACUACGUGCCAGCAGCCGCGGUAAUACGUAGGGUGCGAGCGUUAAUCGGAAUUACUGGGCGUAAAGCGUGCGCAGGCUGUUUUGUAAGUCAGAUGUGAAAUCCCCGAGCUCAACUUGGGAACUGCGUUUGAAACUACAAGACUAGAAUAUGCCAGAGGGGGGUAGAAUUCCAUGUGUAGCAGUGAAAUGCGUAGAGAUGUGGAGGAAUACCAAUGGCGAAGGCAGCCCCCUGGGAUAAUAUUGACGCUCAUGCACGAAAGCGUGGGGAGCAAACAGGAUUAGAUACCCGCGUAGUC